GGGCGAUUAGCUCAGUUGGUCAGAGCGUACGGUUCACAUCCGUGAGGUCGGGGUUCGAAGCCCCCUCAUCGCCCA
rnacentral:tRNA from 1 species